rnacentral:lncRNA from 1 species
AUGUCUGGCCUCGAGCCCACGAGUUUCAGCAAUGAGCGUCAGACUUUUAGAUCGGCGAUCAACAUUCGGAAGUACGAGGCCGAGAGGGCACGAUUAUCGCUGGUGGAGCAGGCCUGGUACAAUCGGUGUCUCGGCGAGCUGGGAUGUUUCCCAAUAACGACCGAUUUCUUCCACCCCCUGUGGAGGAUGAUGAACGUCGCGGUGGACUCACGUGAGACGAUUAACACCAAAUUCAUGUUCCACACGAGGAAAAACAUGUAUACGCCGGACGUCGUCGCCGGUUACAACAUUCAAGGGAAGCUGCUCGACAGGAUAAACUUCAAUGCUAGUCUGGAGACCAAGUUUAUAGCGCACGGUUUUCUGGACACUCAAUACUUCGGAGAGUGGCAGGCGCUCCUGAAAACCGAACUUCUGAUUCGCGAGGAUUUCAAUGUGAUCAUCGUUGAUUGGAUGGGCGGAAACGGUCUCCCUUAUACGCAAGCGGCCGCGAAUACACGAGUUGUCGGGGCUGAAAUCGCGGUGCUCGUCAAGAAGCUCCAGGCUAGAUUCGGCAUCAGUUUGGAUUCCAUCCAUAUCUACGGACACAGUCUAGGCGCCCAUAUCGCUGGUUACGCGGGCGCCGCUCUCGAUGGAAAAAUCGCUCGGAUCACGGGCCUCGACCCUGCGGAACCGUUUUUCCAACAUCUGCCGCGCUCCGUCAGAUUGGAUACAACAGACGCUCAAUUCGUUGAGGCUCUUCACACGGACUCCAGAAAUUUCGUGACAUCUUUGGGUCUCGGUUUCAGUGAGCCUCUGGGACAUUUGGAUCUCUUCCCCAACGGAGGGGAAAAAAUGCCCGGGUGUGAAUUGAUUGGGAGGAUGAGGGACUUCAAAGAGACGGGUAUUCGAGGCCUUUCGAAAGUCGGAGCUUGCCACCAUUUGAUGUCGACGGUUUACGUGAGGAAUUUCUUAAACCCCAAGAAUUCCUGUGUGCCGGUGGCGUUUAGCUGCGAAAAUUACGAGAUGUUUAAAGGCGGACGCUGCUAUGAUUGUGGUGCUGACGGGUCAAAAUGCGCUCCGGCUAAUUACGAUUCGAUGGCAUACUUCAAGCAGUUCGCGGAUGUGAACAAUGAAGAGAGAAUGUUCUUCGACACAGCGCCGUCCGGCGACAACUACUGUCUGUUCCACUACAAUGUCGCAAUCAAAAUGCGGCGGACCGAGCGUGGAGGUUCAAGGAAAAUCGCUGCCUCGGUUGACGGAUCGUUCUUCUUGACAAUCAAGGGCUCCAAGAACACAGAGGAAUUCAAAGUGAAGACACCGAUGUCUUCGAUGCCUUCCGGUUCAAGUAACUCAGCUCUAAUCACAACAUCGGAAGAUCUCGGCGAGAUCAGGGAGAUUUCUUUCAGAUAUGUGGCCAAAGAGCUGAUUCGUUCUCCAAAGAUGGAGCUGGAUUUCGUCAGAAUCACACCCAUGAACGUGGUCGUGCCGAGAGCGUCAGGUGGUUCGGUUAGAACCUCACCGGCCGCUCAGAACACCCCGCUCGAAACAUCGGCCCUGCGUCAGGCCCCGCUGUACUGUGAAGGGUACUGCUGA